rnacentral:rRNA from 1 species
AGUGAACGCUGGCGGUAGGCCUAACACAUGCAAGUCGAACGGCAGCACAGUAAGAGCUUGCUCUUCCGGGUGGCGAGUGGCGGACGUGUGACGAAUACAUCGUAAUCUACUUUUUCGUGGGGGAUCACGUAGGUAAACUUACUCUAAUACCGCAUCCGCCCUACGGGUGAAAGCAGUGGAUCUUCGGACCUUGCGCGGUUGAAUGAGCCGAUGUCGGAUUAGCUAGUUGGCGGGGUAAAGGCCCACCAAGGCGACGAUCCGUAGCUGGUCUGAGAGGAUGAUCAGCCACACUGGAACUGAGACACGGUCAAGACUCCUAAGGGAGGCAGCAGUGGGGAAUAUUGGACAAUGGGCGCAAGCCUGAUCCAGCCAUACCGCGUGGGUGAAGAAGGCCUUCGGGUUGUAAAGCCCUUUUGUUGGGAAAGAAAAGCAGCAGGUUAAUACCCCGCUGUUCUGACGGUACCCAAAGAAUAAGCACCGGCUAACUUCGUG